AAAAAACAUGAAAAAGAUGCAAACUUUCAAACACCUAAUGUUUUGGUACCAAAUUCAGUUCAUUCUACCAAAACUAUGUCAAAAUGCUUAGCUGUUGAAGGUUCUAGUUUUAGGCCUAGUUCAAUCACUUUACCACCACCAUCAACAAUGGAUCUGCUUUCGAAAAAUAGUGUCUUUAGACCAGAUCUGUCUGCCUUAGUUCUUGAUGGUUUCCG
rnacentral:misc_RNA from 1 species